rnacentral:rRNA from 1 species
GACGAACGCUGGCGGCGUGCUUAACACAUGCAAGUCGAACGGAAAGGCCCUGCUUUUGUGGGGUGCUCGAGUGGCGAACGGGUGAGUAACACGUGAGUAACCUGCCCUUGACUUUGGGAUAACUUCAGGAAACUGGGGCUAAUACCGGAUAGGAGCUCCUGCUGCAUGGUGGGGGUUGGAAAGUUUCGGCGGUUGGGGAUGGACUCGCGGCUUAUCAGCUUGUUGGUGGGGUAGUGGCUUACCAAGGCUUUGACGGGUAGCCGGCCUGAGAGGGGGACCGGCCACAUGGGGACUGAGAGACGGAGCAGACGCGAACGGGAGGCAGCAGGGGGGAAUAUUGCACAAUGGGGCGAAGCCUGAGGCAGCAACGCCGCGUGCGGGAUGACGGCCUUCGGGUUGUAAACCGCUGUCGCCGGUGACGAAGCGGGAGUGACGGUAAUGGGUAAAGAAGCACCGGCUAACUACGUG